AUUACUGUUUGUAUUCACUUCAGGGUCAUGGAGAGUAUUUGCUACUUCAGUUCAGUAUUUUCUUCUGUUAUAUAUAUAUUGUUCUUGCUCUUGGGUCAUCAUAUCCUCUGUUUUUCCUCUGUUUUUAUUUACUAUUGUAGUGAAGGUGGGUUUGUCAUUUUGUCC